rnacentral:rRNA from 1 species
ACUCCUACGGGAGGCAGCAGUGGGGAAUAUUGCACAAUGGGCGCAAGCCUGAUGCAGCAACGCCGCGUGCGGGAUGACGGCCUUCGGGUUGUAAACCGCUUUCAGUUCCGACGAAGCGCAAGUGACGGUAGGAACAGAAGAAGGACCGGCCAACUACGUGCCAGCAGCCGCGGUAAUAC